rnacentral:rRNA from 1 species
AGCGAACGCUGGCGGCAGGCCUAACACAUGCGAGUCGAACGAAACCACCGUGGUUAGUGGCGGUCGGGGGAGUCACAUGGGGGAAGGUGCAUUUAGGUAUGGAAAACUUCAGUUUCACUUGUGCUAACGCAGAAUGAGCUAUUCGGGGGCAGGAUUUAUCGCCCUUAGGGCGGCCGGCGACCGAUUAGCCAGUUGGUUGAGGAAAUGCCUCACCAAGGCUAGGUUCUGUAGCUGGUCAGAGAGGAUGAUCAGCCACAUUGGGACUGAGACACGGCCCAAACUCCUACGGGAGGCAGCAGUGGGGAAUCUUGCGCAAUGGGCGAAAGCCUGACGCAGCCAUGGCGCGUGAAUGAUGAAGGUGUGAGGAAAGUGAAAUUCUUUCACCGGGGACGAUAAUGACGGUACCCGGAGAAGAAGCCCCGGCUAACUUCGUG